AGCUCACACGAGCUAUACACAAUGGCUAACUCCACCACACAAAGCGUCAACUCCAUCGCCACCAAACUAAGUCCACAUCAGACUCCAUUAGACAAUGCUUCAGAAUGUCCUUCGACACCAAGCAGUAACACACACUAAGGAAACCUCUCUCUCUUUAUUCUCUGAGGUCUGGCUUUCUCAGAAGGCACAUCCCUCCUUAUAGAGCAGACCAAAACUUGCUCUCCACGUCUUCAACUUGCUCUUCAAGUCUUCCAAAUACACUUAAGGUAACUUUCCAUUUUCAUUAAUGAAAAACUACAUCUUCAAGCAAACUCCCUUUUGCUUUAUGGAAAACGUCCAUAUGUCUUCAAGCACAUAUCAUCUUUCCUUUUCCAAGCUCAGCAAGUCCACGCACAUCACAAAACCCAAACUCACAUUAAGCUCCAUCUUCAUGACACACGCCUGUAGUACUUCCUGUAGUACUUCGCGAACUGAUACAUAUCAUCUCAGCAUACUGCAUCUUCAUACAUUACUUUGAUUCUCGAAUGAAAAUUUACUACUGAUGCAAACAUAUCUUCUUAUUAUUUAGACGAAUCAGGUUACUCUGGGAUCUCAACCCAUGGCGGAAGAAACAGAUUAUGCCUUAAAUGACUGCAGACAUAGAUGAGAAAGCUAUCACGAAAGAAAACCCUGAAAAUGUGGUUGUGGCCUUCGCUGAAGCAGCCAAGGUAUUCUCUCAUCUCAUCAAGCAGCAGUAAUAGGUUCUGAAAAUUUGCCUCAUGUCUCCACAAUUACUUGCUUACUGGUCAUGAAAAUUAUAUGAUAUAUAGCAUUACUAACUCUGCAGAAAUUUUUAGUUAUUCUUAUUUGACUAAACUGAUGAGAUAAUACUGAAACUGUGAGAUGAAAGCAUGUUUUCUCUGGAUCCUCAACCAAUCUUAUCGGUUAGUGCUGCAGACACUGUACGCUUACUUUUUAGUGAUUACUAUUAGAAUUUGUUCUCUUGUGAUUGUUAUUUUAAUCUUGAGGUGAUCGUAUGUAUCUUAGGUUGUUGUGUACAAAGGUGACAUCUAGACAAAAACCAACCCGCAAGAAAAAAGCUCCCAACUCUACUUUUAAAGAUUAUUUUGUGAUUCUAAACCAUGUAUGUGGUAAAAAUGACAACUCCUUUAAAGAUUCAUUUGUGAUUGAACAUUUUUUAAGAGCUAAUGGAGCCACACCAAUGAAGAUUUAAUCUUUUUUUUAAUCUUUUUUUGGUCCCUACCAAAGGGGAUAAUGUCUACUGGCCUAUGCAAUGGGAAGGAUAACCUAUAUGCUGAAAACGUCAAGCCAGAGAGAUGGCUCAAGGACACCAUCCAAAUUCAUAAGCUUUCAUGUCCGUGCACUUUUUCCCGGACAAUUAAGCUUUGUAUGUACUUAAGAGUAAAGACGUUGCCUUUUGAUAUUUUUUUUUGCUUUGACUGUGUAUGUAAGCUCGACCAAGAAUUUGUCUUGGUAAAAGAACUUCGCAUAUGAGCAAAUGAGCUACAUAUUUGUCAACAUCCCUGCGCAAGCGCGGGGCUACGCCUCUAGUGUAUUUAGAAGAGUGGGUUUCGAAUGCUUUGGGAUUAAGGUGGAGGUUAUGUAUAUUAUUAUAAAUGGUAGUUAUAGUUAAGCAAUUAGUUGUAUAUUUAUAUGUACGUAGGUUUAGUGGCAAAAAAAUAAUAUGUAAAAUAGUAGUAAGGGCAAAUGUUAGUAAUGAUCCUGUUAUAAUUAUAUUGAUUUAAGCAUAUGAUUCAGUUUAGUGUGGAGAGGCUCUUCUCCUUCGUCCUUUUCAGUCCCUGGCUCUCCUUUGAUCAGAGGAUUUUGAGCAGUUGCAUUUAUCUAACGGAUUUACGUUGGCUCAUUUAUAUUUUUUGGUUUCAAACCUUGCAUUUUUUGAGUUUUUGGUGUCGAUGUAAACACUGUAUCUCUCAUGAAUAUUAUCAGAUGGAAAAAUGAUAGAAACUAUGGUCAUACCCUGUAUCUCAUAGAUCAGUGGAUAUGCAAUUCUUGGAUUAAUAAUGUGAUAAUUCGUCAUGCGGACUCAGGCUCACAGCUCUACAAGACAUCAACCUUAAUUUUUCAUAUGUGAAUCUUCACUAAAUCUUUUAUGUAGGUUAUUGGUGUGCGUGACCAGUGACAAAUCUAAGAUUUUUCUUUUGUCAGAGCAUAAAAUAAAUAAAAAGGAAAUAAAUAGUAUAAGAAGAGAUUUGAACCAUGGUCUAGGGGACAAACAAAUGAUUCAAACCAAUUUUGCUAUAGAAAGCUUGUUAAUUCUUAUGCAAUUAUAUUUAUAACUAGAUUUUUGUGGGGGCAAUUACCUCCUCCUUACACAACGUAGGUUCACCACUAUGCGUGACAUUCCUUGAACCCAAACUGUAUCUUUUAACAACAUUUUUACAGGAUAAAUUAUUACCAAUUCGAAAAACAUCAAAUGCAUCAAUAACCUACGUAAAAAAAUCAGUGAAAAUUAACAUAUAAAGAAUUAAAAUCCUGCACUACAGGACCAGUCUACGUAAAAAUCCCACGCGUAUAUUCACGUGCAUAUUUUUCCUCGAAAUUUCACUUAGCAUUAAAAGGAUGGAUACAGUCACGUGGCACAUUGCUUUAUAUGCUGGCAUUUUCUGUCAAGUCGUUUGUUUAAACGUUUCUAUAAUUGACCUCGUGCAGAUUUCAAAACAUAACUUACUUUUUAUAUUAAAACUAGGUGAUUUUUCCGUGCUCAUGCACAGACAUAAAUAUUUAUAAAAUAAAUAUAAUACAAUAAUUAACUGAUAUUUAUUUUUAAUUUUAAAUUAAUUUAUAAUUUGUAUGCAUAAUUUAUAUUAAUUACUUCAUAUUACUUUAAUUACAUAUUUAUCUAAUUGGUUUUGUUGUUUUUACAGUCAAUUUAGUUGUCAUUUGGACAUAUUGGAUUCUGUUUAUUUAUUUGAAUUCAACUAUAAUAUUUAUUUCUUGUAAAUGUAUUAAUUUUUGAUUAAUUUUCUUAUUUGCAUUUUAGGUUGGUUGUUGUCUUAAAUACAUAAGUAUAUUUUAUUAAAAUUAUGUAUAAUUUAAGAUAUAUUGUGAUUAGAAUGAAAUAAAAAAUAAGCUAAAAUGUCUGAUUCCAAAUUACAUAAAUUAAUAUAAUGAUAAUAUU